rnacentral:rRNA from 1 species
GAUGAACGCUGGCGGCGUGCCUAAUACAUGCAAGUCGAGCGAACAGAUAAGGAGCUUGCUCCUUUGACGUUAGCGGCGGACGGGUGAGUAACACGUGGGUAACCUACCUAUAAGACUGGGAUAACUUCGGGAAACCGGAGCUAAUACCGGAUAAUAUUUCGAACCGCAUGGUUCGAUAGUGAAAGAUGGUUUUGCUAUCACUUAUAGAUGGACCCGCGCCGUAUUAGCUAGUUGAUAAGGUAACGGCUUACCAAGGCGACGAUACGUAGCCGACCUGAGAGGGUGAUCGGCCACACUGGAACUGAGACACGGUCCAGACUCCUACGGGAGGCAGCAGUAGGGAAUCUUCCGCAAUGGGCGAAAGCCUGACGGAGCAACGCCGCGUGAGUGAUGAAGGUCUUCGGAUCGUAAAACUCUGUUAUUAGGGAAGAACAUACGUGUAAGUAACUGUGCACGUCUUGACGGUACCUAAUCAGAAAGCCACGGCUAACUACGUG